CUGUGAAAUCUACAGUUAUUUACCGUAGAUUUCACAGUUACAUUACUGUAUAAGAUUUUUACAGUAGAACAUUUUAAAGUUUACAGUGAGACCGUAAAAAUCACAGUAAUCCAAGCAUUACAGUUGAAAUCACAGUAAUCAAAUCAUUACUGUAAAAAAUCACAAUUUAGCCACUAUGGUACUGUAAAUAGUAAAGUAAACUACUGUAAUUUUCCUUUUUUUAUCAUAUCUUUCUUUGUACCCCUUUCACAUGGACGGCCCCAGAUUAUUGUUGUUCAGAAUUCAUUACUGGAAUAUGAUAUAAAUACUCAAUGGUGAGUAAUAUUAAUAAAUUAAAAUGUGUCAUGUAACUUUUAGUUUGAGCUUUCUAUUCCAUACAAUAUAUAAUUUUUAAAGAAUUCACAUAAGAUUUCAAGAAUAUAUAUAUAAUAUAUAUUGUGACUGGGUGUUUAGGUGUAAAAUGGGUGUUAACAGGGCAAUAAAAUAUUAAAAUAUAAGCUUUAUCUUAAACUUCUCCAAAGUCUUUCCUGACAUGGUCUAACAAUAUAGGCUUCAUAAAAGCAUAAUUUUUGAAGAUAUAAUCCUCAGAUCUCGCGAGAUUAAAUAUGUCACGAGAUUUCUCGUGGAGGUGAAAUACUGGCCGUUUCUCAAACAAAAGGCUGCAUCCUUAGGAGGUCGCAUUUGUAGACUGCAUACGUCAUAAAGACUGACUUAUUACAGAAUUAACAAUUAUAACGUUUUACACUAUUAUAUUUAGUUAAUCAUAAAAUGUUGUAAUAUGCUUAUGACUUGGGAAUGUAAUGCUCAGUUAACUGAAAUAAACCAGGCUUGAUGACGUAUGGAGCCUGCAUAUGCGACCUCUGGAGGCUGCAGCUUUCUGUUUUUAUUUUUGAGCUUAUGUAUCUCAAUAUUAAUAACAUCUGAUUGAUUUUGAGUUUUGAACUUGAGCCAAAACUCUAAAGCGUGUCUAUUCAUAAAGACUUUUAUUUUGGGUAGGCUUUUAUUUUAUGUCAUGUGCAUUACUUGCCAAAAUUGGUGCUGUCUGGUCAACUCAUAAAUACGUAUCAUUGUUUUUUUAUAUAUAUUUACAAAAAUCUGUAUUUUUUUCUUCGGAAGCAGCUGCAGGAGAGAUAAACGUGCAAGUUUUCAGAGCUGUUUCUGAGCUGCAGGGCGAAAUCAAAGCGCCGGCGGAGUGGGCGGGGUUUACGCAACCCAGUCUGGAAAGUUCAAUCUGUGGUGGGAAAAAAGCGCGAAAGAAGCAACACUUGAACUUCUGACUCGUCGUUAGUGACAGAAAAGCUCCAUUAAUUCUCAAAUUAACGUUUCUUUACACACGACUUUGUCUUGUGGUUGUAUUUAUUUCGUUUUCUUCUUUGUGUUGAUUUCUUUCACUUUUUGCCUGAGAGGAAUUCAGCGAAAAGGUUUCAGUGAGAGCUCCGACGGAGACGUUUUCACAGACGUUAAUAACAUACUAUUACUCAAAUGUAUCUUUCUUUACACACGGCUUUGUCUUUUGGUUGUAACGUUAUUUAUUUUGUUUUCGUCUUUGUGUUGAUAUUUCACUUUUUGCCUGAGAGGAAUUCAGCGAUAACGUUUCCGUGAGAAGUCCGACGGAGACGUUUUCACAGCCGUUAACGUUAAUAUAUUUUUCCCACCCGUGGCCUCUGCCGGAGUAUCCAUCUUGGAAUCGCGGAUCCGACCUUCACCAACUGCUUAUACCUUUUAUCGAGACUUCCAGAAUAUAAGCGAGUACCACUCCCGCAGACGCAGAGGCCCAUCUGUCUCUCCCAAUCACUCCAAAGAUCAUCAUGCUCGUCAGGAAAAGCAUCACUUCAAAAAAGAGAGAAAAUCCUGACUGCAAAAAAAUGGAUGCUGUCGAUCGAGGGAAGGGUCGUAAUCAGGUGGAAGCCAGCACAACACUGGAGUUUGUUCAGAGGUUUUUAGUCAGGAUUAAUCCUGACUCCAACAAGUGCACUGCCAAGGAGCAGAUGAGCAAGACAACAGGGAGAGUGGUGAAGCGGAAGACUUCAUACAUGAACCUCCAUGUAAUCUCCUUCAUCAGGGACUUCAGGGAGUUCUAUUUGCUAACUGACUAGAUACAGGUCUCCAAGGUCAGGGCAUGCAAGAAGUCAUAGACCUUUGUCAAGUGGCAGGGGAAGUUUAUUUUCCUUUCUGUUUUAAAUGUUCAUGCAAAUGUUAAAUAUUUUAUUUUUUAAUGUUCAAUGUUUUAUUUUAUUUCAAUAUUGCCAUAGUGUUAUUCAUUGCUCUUUAGAAUGUGGUAAUAAUCAGUUAUUUGCACGGCUGGAAAGUAGUUAAUUUUUUUGACCAUAUUGUAUCAAUUUGCAUUAUUGUUAGGUCAUAGCAACCAGUCAUGUGGAACUAGUGAAUGAACUAGUAACAGUUCGCUCUGUAUGUUGCAUGUCGUCUAAUGUCCAUUAUCCCUUUAUGUUGUACCUGUUUGGUCAUCCUGUUCCCCAAAUGAUUUUAAAUAAAUAACUAUUAACAAUU